CCGUAGCCCAAGAGAUCGGGAUAACACCUGGAAACAGAUGCUAAUACCGGAUAACAACAGAUGAUGCCUAUCAACUGUUUAAAGGAUGGUUCUGCUAUCACUCUUGGAUGGACCUGCGGUGCAUUAGCUAGUUGGUAGGGUAACGGCCUACCAAGGCGAUGAUGCAUAGCCGAGUUGAGAGACUGAUCGGCCACAUUGGGACUGAGACACGGCCCAAACUCCUACGGGAGGCAGCAGUG
rnacentral:rRNA from 1 species